rnacentral:rRNA from 1 species
CGGGUGAGUAAUGCGUGACCAACCUGCCCCAUGCUCCAGAAUAGCUCUUGGAAACGGGUGGUAAUGCUGGAUGCUCCAACUUGACGCAUGUCUUGUUGGGAAAGUGUUUAGUGGCAUGGGAUGGGGUCGCGUCCUAUCAGCUUGUAGGCGGGGUAAUGGCCCACCCAGGCUUCGACGGGUAGCCGGCCUUAGAGGGCGGACGGCCACAUUGUGACUGAGAUACGGCCCAGACUCCUACGGGAGGCAGCAGAG